GACGAACGCUGGCGGCGUGCUUAACACAUGCAAGUCGAACGGAAAGGCCUCUUUCGGGGGGUACUCGAGUGGCGAACGGGUGAGUAACACGUGAGUAACCUGCCCUUGACUUUGGGAUAACUUCAGGAAACUGGGGCUAAUACCGGCUAGUAGCUCCUGCUGCAUGGUGGGGGUUGGAGAGUUUCGGGGGUUGGGGAUGGACUCGCGGCGUAUCAGCUUGUUGGUGGGGUAGUGGCUUACCAAGGCUUUGACGGGUAGCCGGCCUGAGAGGGUGACCGGCCACACUGGGAAUUAGCUAAGGCCCAGACUCCUACGGGAAGCAGGAGUGGGGAAUAUUGCACAAAGGGUGGAAGCCUGAUGCAGCAAAGCCGUGUGCGGGGUGACGGCCUUCGGGUUGUAAACCGCUUUCGCUCAUGACGAAGCUUUGUGUGACGGUAGUGGGUAAAGAAGCACCGGCUAACUACGUG
rnacentral:rRNA from 1 species